rnacentral:rRNA from 1 species
AUAGCGUAUAUUAAAGUUGUUGCAGUUAAAAAGCUCGUAGUUGAAUUUUAGGCCUGGUUGGACGGUCUGCCUUAGGGUUUGUACUGUCCUGGCUGGGUCUUACCUUCUGGUAAACUGUCGUGUCGUUUAUUCGGUGCGGCAGGGAACCAGGACUUUUACUUUGAAAAAAUUAGAGUGUUUAAAGCAGGCAUUCGCUUGAAUACAUUAGCAUGGAAUAAUAGAAUAGGACUUUGGUUCUAUUUUGUUGGUUUCUAGGACCGAAGUAAUGAUUAAUAGGGAUAGUUGGGGGCAUUAGUAUUUAAUUGUCAGAGGUGAAAUUCUUGGAUUUAUUGAAGACUAACUACUG